rnacentral:rRNA from 1 species
AUUGAACGCUGGCGGCAUGCUUUACACAUGCAAGUCGAACGGUAACAGGCCUUCGGGUGCUGACGAGUGGCGAACGGGUGAGUAAUGCAUCGGAACGUACCCAGAGGUGGGGGAUAACGCAGCGAAAGCUGUGCUAAUACCGCAUGUGAUCUGAGGAUGAAAGCGGGGGACCGGGAAGCAAUGUUUGGCCUCGCGCCUUUGAGCCGGCCGAUGUCGGAUUAGCUAGUUGGUGGGGUAAAGGCCUACCAAGGCGACGAUCCGUAGCUGGUCUGAGAGGACGACCAGCCACACUGGGACUGAGACACGGCCCAGACUCCUACGGGAGGCAGCAGUGGGGAAUUUUGGACAAUGGGCACAAGCCUGAUCCAGCAAUGCCGCGUGCGGGAAGAAGGCCUUCGGGUUGUAAACCGCUUUUGGCAGGAACGAAACGGUGUCCGCUAAUACCGGGCGCUAAUGACGGUACCUGCAGAAUAAGCACCGGCUAACUACGUG